rnacentral:rRNA from 1 species
UACGUAGGGUGCGAGCGUUAAUCGGAAUUACUGGGCGUAAAGCGUGCGCAGGCGGUUUUGUAAGCCAGAUGUGAAAUCCCCGGGCUUAACCUGGGAAUGGCAUUUGGGACUGCAAGGCUGGAGUUUGGCAGAGGAGACUGGAAUUCCUGGUGUAGCAGUGAAAUGCGUAGAUAUCAGGAGGAACACCGAUGGCGAAGGCAGGUCUCUGGGCUGAAACUGACGCUCAUGACACGAAAGCGUGGGGAGCAACAGG